CACAUGCAAGUCGAACGAAGCAUUUAAGUGAAUCCUUCGGGGUGAAGCUUUUUGACUGAGUGGCGGACGGGUGAGUAACGCGUGGGUAACCUACCCUGUACAGGGGGAUAACAGUUAGAAAUGACUGCUAAUACCGCAUAAGCACACGCUGUCGCAUGACAGAGAGUGAAAAGAAUUUUUGGUACAGGAUGGGCCCGCGUCUGAUUAGCUAGUUGGCAAGGUAAAGGCUUACCAAGGCGACGAUCAGUAGCCGGCUUGAGAGAGUGAACGGCCACAUUGGAACUGAGACACGGUCCAAACUCCUACGGGAGGCAGCAGUGGGGAAUAUUGCACAAUGGGGGAAACCCUGAUGCAGCGACGCCGCGUGAAGGAUGAAGUAUUUCGGUAUGUAAACUUCUAUCAGCAGGGAAGAUAAUGACGGUACCUGACUAAGAAGCCCCGGCUAACUACGUG
rnacentral:rRNA from 1 species